rnacentral:misc_RNA from 1 species
UACGGAGGACCCGAGCGUUAUCCGGAUUUAUUGGGUUUAAAGGGUGCGUAGGCGGAUUAGUAAGUUAGAGGUGAAAGCUCGAUGCUCAACAUCGAAAUUGCCUCUGAUACUGUUAGUCUAGAGUAUAGUUGCGGAAGGCGGAAUGUGUGGUGUAGCGGUGAAAUGCUUAGGUAUCACACAGAACACCGAUUGCGAAGGCAGCUUUCCAAGCUAUUACUGACGCUGAGGCACGAAAGCGUGGGGAGCGAACAGG